GAGUCGGAUGCAUCUAAAUGAAAUCUAUCGAUCUUGAUAGAAAAAGAGUAGUCCUAUAUGAUUCAUGAGAUUGAGUUCAGGAAGUCUCUGACCAGAGCAAAUGUGAAUACUGAAAAAGAGUUUCUAUAAAAAUUAUAAAUAAACUUAAGUCGAGCCAAUCUGGUAUAUAACUGAUGAUGAGAUUUGACGAGUUCUCCAUGAUCUCCAUCUAGUUGGGACUCAUAAUAGAAGGACUGUAUCACACGGUAACUGCAUCUAGAGAUUCAUUCUUCUAUUCUGCUAGGUUAUCACUAC
rnacentral:lncRNA from 1 species